CGGGGAGUGGCGCAGUUGGUAGCGCACACGGCUGGGGGCCGUGAGGUCGCAGGUUCAAGUCCUGUCUCCCCGACCA
rnacentral:tRNA from 2 species